UGAACUUCCACACAGUUAGAAUAGCCAUUGGGAAGCCAUGGAGCUUUGGUUAUGGUCGUAGACUUUUAUUGUGCUUACAUUUUUACACACUUAUCAGCCACAAAUUAGAAAAAAACACCAGGAAAGUUGACACUAGAAAAACCAUGCUCUUUAUAACUUUUUCAUGGCUCACAGGCUGCAUCCUGUCCUUCCUUCUCAUCUACAGCUUACAUCCCUCCUCCUUGUUCUCCUUUGUAAGUGUUACAGCAUGCUCACUCGCACAGCUCUUUACACUAUACAUUCUAGUCAAGAGAAAAGGAGAAUGUGAAGGAGGAUUGUGGGAGAGGAAGCUACAGGAUUCCAGGAACCAGGAACAGUCUGAAGGAGCUGAUGGCCUAGAAAUCAUUUCCUCACAGGGGAAACCAGAAAAUGACAACUGUGGACCUUGCAAUGCCAGCUGUCCAAGAGGUUGGAUUGGAUUUGGAAGUAAAUGCUUUUAUUUUUCUGAAGACAUGAGAAACUGGACAUCCAGCCAGACCUCCUGCAAGGCACAAGGAGCCCAGCUAGCUCAAUUUGACAGCCUGGAGUUGCUGUUUACAUUUCUGGGAGACCAGCCAUUGAAAACCGUGGAACUUGCUCUGACAUCUGCUCAAGAGACUGGAUUGGUUUUGGAAGCAAAUGUUUUUAUUUUUCUGAAGACAUGAGAAACUGGACAUCCAGCCAGACCUCCUGCAUGGCACUAGAUGCCCAACUAGCUCGAUUUGACAACCUGGAGGAGCUGGAAUUUCAUCCGAGGAGAAGGAAAAUAUUGCUACCUGAGUGACAGAGGGAUCAGCAGUAGCAGGAACUACAUGCCUAGGAAGUAUAUUUGUAGCAAGCCCAACAUGUGUAUUUCAC